GUGAUCAUAUAACCACUAAUACACUAGAUCCUAUUAGAACUCUGCAGUUAAAUGUGUUUGGCCAAGAGUAGUACUAAGAUGGGUGACCCUGUGGGAAGUCGUCGUGUUGCACUCU